GUGCUCAACUCAAUUAGUCUUGUGACUCUUCACCAGGACUACCCUGGCCAAGGUUUUGCUAAAUUGAAACAUGACUGUACACAGCUCCUAAACUAGAGUGGUCAAUCCCAUCUUGACACACGCACCGACAAGUCAAGUACUUGACUACACCCAGCAGCCUUCCGUCACUGAAUUAAAAAUUCAGGUAGUCCAGUGCCUAAGUGCAGUGAGUUGCUUGCAAGUCACCGUGGCGGUCUCUGGUCGGAGGGACAUUUAUACCCAUAUCCCAUCGGAGCAAAUCUUGACAGCAAAAAUAGCUCCGGAGUCGGUCACGUUCAGUGCAGAUGUACCAUUACAUCUCACCUGUAUGCCAUACCAGUGUCUCCACACUCCUUAGUUAUGAGGACAACCAACCCAUAUGACACAC
rnacentral:lncRNA from 1 species